AGUGAACGCUGGCGGUAGGCCUAACACAUGCAAGUCGAACGGCAGCACAGGAGAGCUUGCUCUCUGGGUGGCGAGUGGCGGACGGGUGAGGAAUACAUCGGAAUCUACUUUUUCGUGGGGGAUAACGUAGGGAAACUUACGCUAAUACCGCAUACGACCUACGGGUGAAAGCAGGGGAUCUUCGGACCUUGCGCGAUUGAGUGAGCCGAUGUCGGAUUAGCUAGUUGGCGGGGUAAAGGCCCACCAAGGCGACGAUCCGUAGCUGGUCUGAGAGGAGGAUCAGCCACACUGGAACUGAGACACGGUCCAGACUCCUACGGGAGGCAGCAGUGGGGAAUAUUGGACAAUGGGCGCAAGCCUGAUCCAGCCAUACCGCGUGGGUGAAGAAGGCCUUCGGGUUGUAAAGCCCUUUUGUUGGGAAAGAAAUCCAGCUGGUAAAUACCCGGUUGGGAUGACGGUACCCAAAGAAUAAGCACCGGCUAACUUCGUGCCAGCCGCCGCGGUAA
rnacentral:rRNA from 1 species